CGGCUGGACUAUUUAUUACCCUUGUCUUUUGCGCACUUGUUGUUUCCUGGGCGGGUUCGCUCGCCACCAGGACCACAAUAUAAACCUUUUUUAUGCAGUUGCAAUCAGCGUCAGUAUAACAAAUGUAAAUCAUUUACAACUUUCAACAACGGAUCUCUUGGUUCUGGCAUCGAUGAAGAACGCAGCGAAAUGCGAUACGUAGUGUGAAUUGCAGAAUUCAGUGAAUCAUCGAAUCUUUGAACGCACAUUGCGCCCUUUGGUAUUCCAAAGGGCAUGCCUGUUCGAGCGUCAUUUGUACCCUCAAGCUUUGCUUGGUGUUGGGCGUUUUUGUCCCCCCCAAAAGGGGGACUCGCCUUAAAAGGAUUGGCAGCCGGCCUACUGGUUUCGCAGCGCAGCACAUUUUUGCGCUUGCAAUCAGCAAAAGAGGACGGCAAUCCAUCAAGACUCCUUCUCACGUUUGACCUCGGAUCAGGUAGGGAUACCCGCUGAACUUAAGCAUAUCAAUAAGCCGGAAGAA
rnacentral:rRNA from 1 species